rnacentral:sRNA from 1 species
AGAGUACAUGUGAAAAAAUGCCUUUUUAAAGAGUAUGAAAAACUUGAGUUGUAAAAUUUUCUUGUGGAUAAUUUAUUAUUGCUUUUCUUUUUUAGAUAACACUAACAAAGUUGACCUUAGAAUUGGAGUGCCUGGGUUAGAACCCUGCUGGUACCACCUGCUUACUGGCAUGCUUCUGAUGUGAGUUCAGGAGAAGACACUGGCAAGGACAGCAAAGAACAGGAGAACACUCUAGCUUCCCUGAUAGCAUUCAAGGUGCUGUCCAAAGUGACUGACUGUGAUGGCACCCUCCAGACAGACAGCGAUGCCACAUGUUCAAGAUGGCAGAAUCACUAUCAGCUUCAAUUCCUGAAUGACUGCAGAGCAAAAUUUCUUACCUGCAACAUACACUCUAUUUUCAGCCUCCCUGGACUGUUACAUAAUGAUACAUAAAAAUAUUUCUUGUGUUGAGGCAUCCCAAAUUUGAUUUAUUUGUCAUCACAGUCUAUCCUAUGAAUAUAUUUCUGAUCCAAAUAAUGCUAGAUUCAUGAGAGUUUAUAGUCCAGAGAUUUUUUUUUUUUUU